rnacentral:rRNA from 1 species
AUUGAACGCUGGCGGCAGGCCUAACACAUGCAAGUCGAGCGGAUGAAGAGAGCUUGCUCUCUGAUUUAGCGGCGGACGGGUGAGUAAUGCCUAGGAAUCUGCCUGGUAGUGGGGGAUAACGUUCCGAAAGGAACGCUAAUACCGCAUACGUCCUACGGGAGAAAGCAGGGGACCUUCGGGCCUUGCGCUAUCAGAUGAGCCUAGGUCGGAUUAGCUAGUUGGUGAGGUAAUGGCUCACCAAGGCUACGAUCCGUAACUGGUCUGAGAGGAUGAUCAGACACACUGGAACUGGGACACGGUCCAGAAUCCUACGGGAGGCAGCAGUGGGGAAUAUUGGACAAUGGGCGAAAGCCUGAUCCAGCCAUGCCGCGUGUGUGAAGAAGGUCUUCGGAUUGUAAAGCACUUUAAGUUGGGAGGAAGGGCAGUAAGUUAAUACCUUGCUGUUUUGACGUUACCGACAGAAUAAGCACCGGCUAACUUCGUGCCAGCAGCCGCCGUAAGAC